AUUGAACGCUGGCGGCAGGCCUAACACAUGCAAGUCGAGCGGUAGCACAGAGAGCUUGCUCUCGGGUGACGAGCGGCGGACGGGUGAGUAAUGUCUGGGAAACUGCCUGAUGGAGGGGGAUAACUACUGGAAACGGUAGCUAAUACCGCAUAAUGUCGCAAGACCAAAGUGGGGGACCUUCGGGCCUCAUGCCAUCAGAUGUGCCCAGAUGGGAUUAGCUAGUAGGUGGGGUAACGGCUCACCUAGGCGACGAUCCCUAGCUGGUCUGAGAGGAAGACCAGCCACACUGGAACUGAGACACGGUCCCGACUCCUACGGGAGGCAGCAGUGGGGAAUAUUGCACAAUGGGCGCAAGCCUGAUGCAGCCAUGCCGCGUGUGUGAAGAAGGCCUUCGGGUUGUAAAGCACUUUCAGCGGGGAGGAAGGCGAUAAGGUUAAUAACCUUGUCGAUGGACGUUACCCGCAGAAGAAGCACCGGCUAACUCCGUGCCAGCCGCCGCCGUAA
rnacentral:rRNA from 1 species